rnacentral:misc_RNA from 1 species
GUCAUUUAGAGGAAGUAAAAGUCGUAACAAGGUCUCCGUAGGUGAGCCUGCGGAGGGGUCAUUACUGAGUGAGGGAGCAAUCCCGACCUCCAACCCUUUGUGAACGCAUCAUGUCGCUUCGGGGGCGACCCUGCCGUUCGCGGCAUUCCCCCCGGAGGUAAUCAAAACACUGCAUUAUUACGUCGGAGUAAAAGUUAAUUUAAUA